GACGAACGCUGGCGGCGUGCCUAAUACAUGCAAGUAGAACGCUGAAGGAGGAGCUUGCUUCUCCGGAUGAGUUGCGAACGGGUGAGUAACGCGUAGGUAACCUGCCUGGUAGCGGGGGAUAACUAUUGGAAACGAUAGCUAAUACCGCAUAAGAGUAGAUGUUGCAUGACAUUUGCUUAAAAGGUGCAAUUGCAUCACUACCAGAUGGACCUGCGUUGUAUUAGCUAGUUGGUGAGGUAACGGCUCACCAAGGCGACGAUACAUAGCCGACCUGAGAGGGUGAUCGGCCACACUGGGACUGAGACACGGCCCAGACUCCUACGGGAGGCAGCAGUAGGGAAUCUUCGGCAAUGGACGGAAGUCUGACCGAGCAACGCCGCGUGAGUGAAGAAGGGUUUCGGAUCGUAAAGCUCUGUUGUAAGAGAAGAACGAGUGUGAGAGUGGAAAGUUCACACUGUGACGGUAUCUUACCAGAAAGGGACGGCUAACUACGUG
rnacentral:rRNA from 1 species